rnacentral:tRNA from 1 species
GGAGAGAUGGCCGAGUUGGCUGAAGGCGCUCGCCUGCUAAGCGAGUUUACGGUUAAAAGCCGUACCGAGGGUUCGAAUCCCUCUCUCUCCGCCA